rnacentral:rRNA from 1 species
UGGGGAAUUUUGGACAAUGGGGGAAACCCCGAUCCAGCCAUCCCGCGUGUGCGAUGAAGGCCUUCGGGUUGUAAAGCACUUUUGGCAGGAAAGAAACGUCGCGGGUUAAUACCCCGCGAAACUGACGGUACCUGCAGAAUAAGCACCGGCUAACUACGUGCCAGCAGCCGCGGUAAUACGUAGGGUGCAAGCGUUAAUCGGAAUUACUGGGCGUAAAGCGUGCGCAGGCGGUUCGGAAAGAAAGAUGUGAAAUCCCAGAGCUUAACUUUGGAACUGCAUUUUUAACUACCGGGCUAGAGUGUGUCAGAGGGAGGUGGAAUUCCGCGUGUAGCAGUGAAAUGCGUAGAUAUGCGGAGGAACACCGAUGGCGAAGGCAGCCUCCUGGGAUAACACUGACGCUCAUGCACGAAAGCGUGGGGAGCAAACAGGAUUAGAUACCCUGGUAGUCCACGCCCUAAACGAUGUCAACUAGCUGUUGGGGCCUUCGGGCCUUGGUAGCGCAGCUAACGCGUGAAGUUGACCGCCUGGGGAGUACGGUCGCAAGAUUAAAACUCAAAGGAAUU